rnacentral:rRNA from 1 species
GACGAACGCUGGUGGCGUGCCUAAUACAUGCAAGUAGAACGCUGACGAGAGGAGCUUGCUCUUCUUGGGUGAGUUGCGAACGGGUGAGUAACGCGUAGGUAACCUGCCUUGUAGCGGGGGAUAACUAUUGGAAACGAUAGCUAAUACCGCAUAACAAUGGAUGACCCAUGUCAUUUAUUUGAAAGGGGCAAAUGCUCCACUACAAGAUGGACCUGCGUUGUAUUAGCUAGUAGGUGAGGUUACGGCUCACCUAGGCGACGGUACAUAGGCAACCUGAGAGGGUGGUCGGCCACCCUUGGACUUGGACCCGGCCCAGACUCCUACGGGAGGCAGCAGUAGGGGAUCUUCGGCAAUGGGGGCAACCCUUACCGAGCCACGCCGCGGGGGUGAAGGAGGUUUUCGGGUCGUAAAGCUCUGUUUUAAGUCAAGAACGAGUGUGAGAGUGGAAAGUUCACGCUGUGACGGUAGCUUACCAGAAAGGGACGGCUAACUACGUG